rnacentral:rRNA from 1 species
GACGAACGCUGGCGGCGUGCCUAAUACAUGCAAGUCGAACGCAGUGGGGACUGGUGAGUAACACGUGGCUCACCUCCCAUCAGAGGGGAUAACACUUGGAAACAGGUGCUAAACCGAUACUGAUGGAUGGACCCGCGGUGCAUUAGCUAGUUGGUGAGGUAACGGCUCAACAAGGCCACGAUGCAUAGCCGAACGGAGAGGGUGAUCGGCCACACUGGGACUGAGACACGGCCCAGACUCCUACGAGAGGCAGCAGGAGGGAAUCUGCGGCAAUGGACGAAAGUCUGACCGAGAAAGGCCGCGUGAGUGAAGAAGGUGUUCGGAUCGUAAAACUCUGUUGUUGGAGAAGCGGUAUCUAACCAGAAAGCAACGGCUAACUACGUGCCAGCAGUCGCGGUAAUAC